AUUGAACGCUGGCGGCAGGCCUAACACAUGCAAGUCGAAUGGUAACAGGAAACAGCUUGCUGUUUCGCUGACGAGAGGCGGACGGGUGAGUAAUGACUGUGACACUGCCUGAUGGAGGGCGAUAACUACUGGAAACGGUUGCUAAUACCGCAUAACGGCGCAAGACCAAGGAGGGGGACCUUCGGGCCUCUUGCCAUCACCUGUGCCCAGAUGGGAUUAGCUAGUUGGUGGGGUAAAGGCUCACCUAGGCGACGAUCCCUAGCUGGUCUGAGAGGAUGAUCAGCCACACUGGAACUGAGACACGGUCCAGACUCCUACGGGAGGCAGCAGUGGGGAAUAUUGGACAAUGGGCGAAAGCCUGAUGCAGCCAUGCCGCGUGUGUGAAGAAGGUCUUCGGAUUGUAAAGUACUUUAAGCGGGGAGGAAGGGAGUAAAGUUAAUACCUUGGCUCUUUGACGUUACCAACAGAAGAAGCACCGGCUAACUCCGUG
rnacentral:rRNA from 1 species